CCAGGUGUCGGGGAAUUUGUGUUGUAUUUUCCCAGUGGCCUCAGGCAGCUCUGGGAAUGCAACCGGCUCAUUAGGCCCGUGUCCGUGCCAGGCUGCACUUCAAACACCUCCGUCUUCUUGCUAAAUGACAGCCAAGAGCUUCCUGGCAUCCCGGGACUCCGGGAGCCGGGGAUUUAACCAUGCAAGAGUGGCUUGGAGCCAACCAGCAAGAGCCGGCGAGGCUACCGCCAGCUGCUCCAGUGCCAGAAGGCAGCGAGAUGGCCCCCAGCGGUCCACGGACCACCGGAUACGAAGGAGGGGAAGGGAUCUCCAAGCCAAGCCAUGCCCAGGAGUGGCAACCUGAGCAGCUGCUUCCCCCGAUCCAGGGGCGCUGAUGCCCGAGCGACUCCCUCCAACCUCCCCUCAAAUAAAAUAAAAUGAUGCUUAUGA